rnacentral:rRNA from 1 species
GACGAACGCUGGCGGCGUGCUUAAUACAUGCAAGUCGAACGGGGUCCAACCUUUCGCAAGAAAGGGGACGGCCUAGUGGCGAACGGGUGCGUAACACGUGAGAAACCUGCCCCCGGUCUCUGGAAUAACAAGUGGAAACACUUGCUAAUACCGGAUGCCGUCACCAUGUCGCAUGGCAAGGUGACGAAAGAUUUAUCGGACCGGGAGGGUCUCGCGGCCUAUCAGCUUGUUGGUGAGGUAACGGCUCACCAAGGCGUCGACGGGUAGCUGGUCUGAGAGGAUGAUCAGCCACACUGGGACUGAGACACGGCCCAGACUCCUACGGGAGGCAGCAGUAGGGAAUCUUGCACAAUGGGCGAAAGCCUGAUGCAGCGACGCCGCGUGCGGGAAGAAGGCCUUAGGUGUAACGCUUCAGCAGGGAAGAAAAUGACGGUACCUGUAGAGAAGGUGCGGCCGAACUACGUGCCAGCAGCCGCGGAA